rnacentral:lncRNA from 1 species
AAAGAAAGAGAUAGUUGUCCCUGCCCUGUUAGUACCACAUUCUGAGGAACUAUCCAUAUCCUGCUGGCUAUAUUCUACAGUGACAUCAGAGAAAGGGAUGGAAAGCUCACGAUAAACACAUUUUCCCUUUGGUACAUAUCUGCCUAUGAUGAAGAGAACAGCAGAGAUGGCUACAAACACCUUUCAUCGAAUUCAUUACUGUAGGGCUUAAUUUUUCUAGCCCUAACCAGGAUGAUGCCA